rnacentral:rRNA from 1 species
GAUCAUGGCUCAGGACGAACGCUGGCGGCGCGCCUAACACAUGCAAGUCGAACGAGCAAGAGAGAGCUUGCUUUCUCGAGCGAGUGGCGAACGGGUGAGUAACGCGUGAGGAACCUGCCUCAAAGAGGGGACGAACAAGUUGGUAAACGGAACUGCUAAUAACCGCCAUAAGACCCACCGGCGUCGGCGAUCGAGCAGGGGGAAAAAGGGGAAGCAAUCCGCUUUGUAGAUGGCCGUCGCGUCCGAUUAG